AUUUUUAAUGUCAAAUUCACUUUGCAAAAUAUUGAAACAAAUUUUAUGAGGUCUGACUUGCAUUCCCAUCAUGUGGGAUUCCAUGUACUCUAAAACCCAUGAGAAAAAUGCAAGAUGCAAUUGGAGGAAAACAACAAGCAGAAGACAGGGCAGUCAGUGGGAAUGGUUAGAACAACCCUAGGCACAGAAAGCAACUUACUUUGGCAAAUCAUAACUACAAAGUUUAUCAAAAGGAGGAGAAUAUUGUAGAAGAUAUGUACUGGUGCUUUGAAAAGAAAAAAAGAAGAUGAAAAGAUACAUAGAGAAAUAAUUUUCAGUAAAAACCAGG